UACAGAGGGUGCAAGCGUUGUUCGGAAUCACUGGGCGUAAAGGGUGCGUAGGCGGGUCUUUAAGUCAGGGGGGAAAUCCUGGAGCUCAACUCCAGAACUGCCUUUGAUACUGGCGAUCUUGAGUUCGGGAGAGGUGAGUGGAACUGCGAGUGUAGAGGUGAAAUUCGUAGAUAUUCGCAAGAACACCAGUGGCGAAGGCGGCUCACUGGCCCGAUACUGACGCUGAGGUGCGAAAGCGUGGGGAGCAAACAGG
rnacentral:rRNA from 1 species